CUUUAAACAUUGUACAGUGAGUUGUUUGUUUUAUUUUCUCUUGUAAUGUGUCAUCCAUUUUGAGGAUACUGUCGUGUCCAGGAAAAAGAAUCUGUCCGGUGAUC